CAAUGCUUCUUUAGAAGCUACUCAUCCAUUAAAGGGGCCAGGCCUGUGAGGCAGCAGCACUCUCUGAAGACAAUGGAAGAUGGGGGAGUAUGAACAUUGAAAACCAAGGAACUGGGGCCCUUUCUUCUCUUCCAAAAAAUGUUGUUGAGCACCUGUGUCAGACACCCAACAUACUAAGAUGAAUAAGAUAGAGCCUCUGUCCUCAAGGAUCUGAUGUUCUAGUGAAGAAGACAGAUUAACAGGUUUAGAAUCUGGCUACAGAUUGAUUUUAUGCUAAAUUAUAUUGUUGAAAGAUGUCACGCUCCACUUGACACACCUACAAAUGUUUUUCAUUCAAAUAAAGGAAGGUCAGCUGAGCUGAAGAACAUCAGUAAUUACAGAUUUUGCUGCUGCUGCUGCUGCUGCUGCUGUUGCGAAUCCUUUCUUCUCACCUCUGGGUGCCUGAAAGUCAGCAGGAGUUACAAGUGGAAAUUUGGCCAAAAUGCACUGCACUCUGAAAGAAAAUGCUUAAUUUCUCUAAAAGUGAAGGACUUGCUGAGAAGAAAUGUUGAAAAUAUAAUGAGCAGGCAUUUCAAUGCAAAAGGUGAUACAAUAUACCCAUUACGUUGCUAUUCUCAUGGGACAGAACCAAACUUUGACUUUUGUAUAAACUAUUUGGCAAUAUUACAUAAGACACCUCCUAUUUGUAGUUCUGUUUCAGAACAUAGUAUAUAAUCCGGUAUAUAUCAUAAUGAAUAAAGUCAUAAUGAAUAAAAUCAAAAUAGGGUGCCACCCUAUUUGAUAACAAAACUUUGCAUAUCACUGAAUGCAUAUAUUUAUCAAACUUCCUGUACUAAAAUGAAAUACACAUAUAUAAGCAUGCAUACUCCAAAAAUUUAACACGAAUAAUUUAACACUCUUGAGACAGGAGUAAUACAAGGUGGUCACAGGAGAACAGAAAAUUCCAGACAGCAGUUUCACACGUUUAGCAGAAGAAAACUGUUGAAAUAGCUGCAUAAGGUAGGGGCCGAUAAGACCCUGAAAAACGAAGGUGUGGGCCAAGCUGGCUAAGACUAACUGGACCCAACAUGUCACUGGAUUUGACCUAGGUUUCACCUAAGAUCUCAUUAUACUCUCAUUAACAUACUAAAUCACACACCCACCAGUGUAAUGACAGUUCUGAGACCACCCAUAUUGGGCGUAAAAAUGGGUAGCACACAGUUCCAAGAAAUAUUCAUAUCUUUCCAGGAAUCUUCAUGAAUAUCUCACCACUUGAUUAAAGAUACCCAUAAAUAUAGAAACUCCAAACCCUUUGGUGUGACUCACUUCUCUUGAGUAUGCCCACAAUCCCCUUCCUUAAGUGUGUACUUUUCACUUUGCAAUAAAUCUGUACUUUCACUCU